UUUUUUCUUUAUCAUAAGUCUCCUCAUCAUCUAAGCUGGCCAUCACACAGAAAUGUUGAGAAAUGUGAAGAUUCCUUCACCUAAGAAUGAAUAUAUGUUUUCACUGAGGAUAUUCAAAAGAAUCCAUCACAGGAGUUCAAGUCACCACUGUAUGAGGGAUUAUUAAAUAUAUUCUGAAGAAUGGAAACAUUAUAAUAGAGAUCUCAGCUGUGAAUCCUGCAAUAGGUAAGAAAUCUUUUCUCCCCUACAACAGUCCUUUAAAAG